AUGUAUCGUCUAGGAACGUCAGAAGCUACAGCCAUAAAGUCUCACCAAUAUGACGGCUCAAGUGUGAGCGGAACAACAGAUGUGCUACAAGGCUGGGGAGAUGUGUCAGCAGUUAAGAGUGUGGACCGCGCUCUUUCUCUUCAACGAGGCGGCCGAGCGGCAGACGCCAACAUGCAGAUCUUCCCUGACGGGUAAGACCAUCACUCUUGAGGUCGAGCCCAGUGACACCAUCGAGAAUGUCAAGGCCAAGAUCCAAGACAAGGAAGGCAUCCCCCCUGACCAGCAGAGACUGAUCUUUGCUGGCAAACAGCUGGAGGAUGGCCGCACCCUGUCCGACUACAACAUCCAGAAAGAGUCCACCUUGCACCUGGUGCUGCGUCUUCGCGGUGGCAUCAUCGAGCCGUCCCUUCGUCAGCUUGCCCAGAAGUACAACUGUGACAAGAUGAUCUGCCGCAAGUGCUACGCACGCCUGCACCCCCGUGCAGUCAACUGCCGCAAGAAGAAGUGCGGCCACACCAACAACCUGCGCCCCAAGAAGAAGGUCAAAUAGAGCUGGGCCAUACCUGGCCUGUGACCCCGGGACCAAAUAAAGUCCCCUUCCAUCGACUGGA